GGGCGGGACACGUGGUAUCCUGUCUGAAUAUGGGGGGACCAUCCUCCAAGGCUAAAUACUCCUGACUGACCGAUAGUGAACCAGUACCGUGAGGGAAAGGCGAAAAGAACCCCGGCGAGGGGAGUGAAACAGAACCUGAAACCGUGUACGUACAAGCAGUGGGAGCCCCACCACUAAGCCAGUGGUGAACUCCACAUACGCAUCCUUUGCGGAAGAUGCGGUUAACGGAGCGAAAGCGACGUUCAACCUCAGAAGAAGCAGAGGGGGCUUAGUGGUGGGGUGACUGCGUACCUUUUGUAUAAUGGGUCAGCGACUUAUAUUCUGUAGCAAGGUUAACCGCAUAGGGGAGCCGAAGGGAAACCGAGUCUUAAUUGGGCGUUAAGUUGCAGGGUAUAGACCCGAAACCCGGUGAUCUAGCCAUGGGCAGGUUGAAGGUUGGGUAACACUAACUGGAGGACCGAACCGACUAAUGUUGAAAAAUUAGCGGAUGACCUGUGGCUGGGGGUGAAAGGCCAAUCAAACCGGGAGAUAGCUGGUUCUCCCCGAAAGCUAUUUAGGUAGC
rnacentral:rRNA from 1 species